AGGCACGUAGCUCAGUGGGAGAGCGCUACCUUGACGCGGUAGAUGUCGGCGGUUCAAUCCCGCCCGUGCCUA
rnacentral:tRNA from 1 species